rnacentral:rRNA from 1 species
CCACACUGGGACUGAGACACGGCCCAGACUCCUACGGGAGGCAGCAGUAGGGAAUAUUGGACAAUGGGGGAAACCCUGAUCCAGCAAUGCAGCGUGAGUGACGAAGGCCUUAGGGUUGUAAAACUCUUUCAUCUGUGAGGAUAAUGACAGUAGCAGAAUAAGAAGGACCGGCUAAUUCCGUGCCAGCAGCCGCGGUAAUACGGAAGGUCCUAGCGUUGUUCGGAAUUACUGGGCGUAAAGAGUAUGUAGGCGGAACAGAAAGUUAGAAGUGAAAUCCCUGGGCUCAACCUAGGAAUUGCUUUUAAAACUUCUGUUCUUGAAUUCAGGAGAGGAUAGUGGAAUUUCCAGUGUAGAGGUGAAAUUCGUAGAUAUUGGAAGGAACACCAGUGGCGAAGGCGGCUAUCUGGACUGACAUUGACGCUGAGAUACGAAGGCAUGGGUAGCAAACGGGAUUAGAUACCCCGGUAGUCCAUGCAGUAAACGAUGGAUGCUAGUCGUCGGACUUUUGUUCGGUGUCGUAGCUAACGCGUUAAGCAUCCCGCCUGGGGAGUACGGUCGCAAGAUUAAAACUCAAAUAAAUUGACGGGGACCCGCACAAGUAGUGGAGCAUGUGGUUUAAUUCGACGCAACGCGAAGAACCUUACCAGCGUUUGACAUGGAAAGUACCGGUUACAGAAUGGUAACCUUCAGUUCGGCUGGCUUUCACACAGGUGCUGCAUGGCUGUCGUCAGCUCGUGUCGUGAGAUGUUGGGUUAAGUCCCGCAACGAGCGCAACCCUCAUCUUUAGUUGCCAUCAGUUAGGCUGGGCACUCUAGAGAAACUGCCUGCGAUGAGCAGGAGGAAGGCGGGGAUGACGUCAAGUCCUCAUGGCCCUUAUGGACUGGGCUACACACGUGCUACAAUGGCGGUGACAGUGGGAAGCAAUAGGGCGACCUGGAGCAAAUCCCCAAAAGCCGUCCCAGUUCGGAUUGUACUCUGCAACUCGAGUGCAUGAAGUUGGAAUCGCUAGUAAUCGCGGAUCAGCAUGCCGCGGUGAAUACGUUCCCGGGCCUUGUACACACCGCCCGUCACACCA